AUUGAACGCUGGCGGUAUGCCUAACACAUGCAAGUCGAACGGCAGCACAGUAAGAGCUUGCUCUUACGGGUGGCGAGUGGCGGACGGGUGAGGAAUACAUCGGAAUCUACUUUUUCGUGGGGGAUGACGUAGGGAAACUUACGCUAAUACCGCAUACGACCUACGGGUGAAAGCAGGGGAUCUUCGGACCUUGCGCGAUUGAAUGAGCCGAUGUCGGAUUAGCUAGUUGGCGGGGUAAAGGCCCACCAAGGCGACGAUCCGUAGCUGGUCUGAGAGGAUGAUCAGCCACACUGGAACUGAGACACGGUCCAGACUCCUACGGGAGGCAGCAGUGGGGAAUAUUGGACAAUGGGCGCAAGCCUGAUCCAGCCAUACCGCGUGGGUGAAGAAGGCCUUCGGGUUGUAAAGCCCUUUUGUUGGGAAAGAAAAGCAGCAGGUUAAUACCCCGCUGUUCUGACGGUACCCAAAGAAUAAGCACCGGCUAACUUCGUG
rnacentral:rRNA from 1 species